rnacentral:rRNA from 1 species
GUUAAGCGACUAAGCGUACACGGUGGAUGCCCUGGCAGUCAGAGGCGAUGAAGGGCGUGCUAAUCUGCGAUAAGCGCCGGUAAGGUGAUAUGAACCGUUAUAACCGGCGAUACCCGAAUGGGGAAACCCAGUGUGAUUCGUCACACUAUCAUUAACUGAAUCCAUAGGUUAAUGAGGCGAACCGGGGGAACUGAAACAUCUAAGUACCCCGAGGAAAAGAAAUCAACCGAGAUUCCCCCAGUAGCGGCGAGCGAACGGGGAGGAGCCCAGAGCCUGAAUCAGCAUGUGUGUUAGUGGAAGCGUCUGGAAAGGCGCGCGAUACAGGGUGACAGCCCCGUACACAAAAGCGCAUGUGCUGUGAGCUCGAUGAGUAGGGCGGGACACGUGGUAUCCUGUCUGAAUAUGGGGGGACCAUCCUCCAAGGCUAAAUACUCCUGACUGACCGAUAGUGAACCAGUACCGUGAGGGAAAGGCGAAAAGAACCCCGGCGAGGGGAGUGAAAAAGAACCUGAAACCGUGUACGUACAAGCAGUGGGAGCACAGGUUUACCUGUGUGACUGCGUACCUUUUGUAUAAUGGGUCAGCGACUUAUAUUCUGUAGCAAGGUUAACCGUAUAGGGGAGCCGCAGGGAAACCGAGUCUUAAUUGGGCGUUAAGUUGCAGGGUAUAGACCCGAAACCCGGUGAUCUAGCCAUGGGCAGGUUGAAGGUUGGGUAACACUAACUGGAGGACCGAACCGACUAAUGUUGAAAAAUUAGCGGAUGACCUGUGGCUGGGGGUGAAAGGCCAAUCAAACCGGGAGAUAGCUGGUUCUCCCCGAAAGCUAUUUAGGUAGCGCCUCGUGAAUUCAUCUCCGGGGGUAGAGCACUGUUUCGGCUAGGGGGCCAUCCCGGCUUACCAACCCGAUGCAAACUGCGAAUACCGGAGAAUGUUAUCACGGGAGACACACGGCGGGUGCUAACGUCCGUCGUGAAGAGGGAAACAACCCAGACCGCCAGCUAAGGUCCCAAAGUCAUGGUUAAGUGGGAAACGAUGUGGGAAGGCCCAGACAGCCAGGAUGUUGGCUUAGAAGCAGCCAUCAUUUAAAGAAAGCGUAAUAGCUCACUGGUCGAGUCGGCCUGCGCGGAAGAUGUAACGGGGCUAAACCAUGCACCGAAGCUGCGGCAGCGACGCUUAUGCGUUGCUGGGUAGGGGAGCGUUCUGUAAGCCUGCGAAGGUGGCCUGUGAGGGUUGCUGGAGGUAUCAGAAGUGCGAAUGCUGACAUAAGUAACGAUAAAGCGGGUGAAAAGCCCGCUCGCCGGAAGACCAAGGGUUCCUGUCCAACGUUAAUCGGGGCAGGGUGAGUCGACCCCUAAGGCGAGGCCGAAAGGCGUAGUCGAUGGGAAACGGGUUAAUAUUCCCGUACUUGGUGUUACUGCGAAGGGGGGACGGAGAAGGCUAUGUUGGCCGGGCGACGGUUGUCCCGGUUUAAGCGUGUAGGUGUGUGUUCCAGGUAAAUCCGGUUCACUUUAACACUGAGGCGUGACGACGAGGCACUACGGUGCUGAAGCAACAAAUGCCCUGCUUCCAGGAAAAGCCUCUAAGCAUCAGGUAACAUCAAAUCGUACCCCAAACCGACACAGGUGGUCAGGUAGAGAAUACCAAGGCGCUUGAGAGAACUCGGGUGAAGGAACUAGGCAAAAUGGUGCCGUAACUUCGGGAGAAGGCACGCUGACAC